rnacentral:lncRNA from 1 species
AACAACAUAUGAAAGCAAUAACAUUAUCAUCAUCAUGAAAUCAUAUGAACUGUAUAACAUAAUACUUACCACACCUUUGCAUUUCAAUCAUUAAACAACAUAUUUUCCUCAUUUACCAGCCUACUGGUAUCCAUGGGGAUCCAUAGGGGUCCCGCUACCCGUGAACCCUUAACAUUUAUAACCUGAUUCCAGAGCCGUCCCCAUACCCUGUUCGGUAUGGGCACCAAAACUAUGAACCUCAAUACCCCGUCCGGUAUGGGCGCCAAAACACAUAAGGUCUCCAUACCCCGUCCGGUAUGAGAGACCACGUUCCCGAUAGGGUUCCCUACGGACCCGGUCCGUCCACCAUCUCCCAAGAUAUCUAGUCAGGCUGUCCACAUUAUCCACUUAUCAAUUCACAUGAUCUUUUUACCAUUUUUCUUAGUUUCAAUCAUCCAAGCACACACAACAUGUAAACCAGUAAUGGACACCAAACAAGACAACACAGUAUCAGAUUC